rnacentral:rRNA from 1 species
CGCUGGCGGCGUGCCUAAAACAUGCAAGUCGAACGGGGUCUUCGGACCCAGUGGCGAACGGCGGAGUAAUACAUAAGCAACGUGCCCUGAAGACUGGGAUAUACGAUGGAAACGUCGGGCAAUACCAGAUGUGGUUGGGAGGAGUCAUCUUCAUCCAAUUAAACGGAUUUAUUCGCUUCGGGAGCGGCUUGUGGCCUAUCAGCUAGUUGGUGAGGUAAAGGCUCACCAAGGCGACGACGGGUAGGGGGUCUGAGAGGAUGAUCCCCUCGAGUGGGACUGAGACACGGCCCACACACCUACGGGUGGCAGCAGUUGGGAAUCUUGCACAAUGGGGAAACCCUGAUGCAGCGACGCCGCGUGGAGGAUGAAGGAUUUCGGUCUGUAAACUCCUUUUACAGGGAAAGACUUAGGACGGUACCCUGUGAAUAAGCUCCGGCUAACUACGUG